rnacentral:tRNA from 1 species
GGGCGCUUAGCUCAGCUGGUUUAGAGCAUCUGCCUUACAAGCAGAGGGUCGGCGGUUCGAGUCCGUCAGCGCCCA